AGUCGAGCGGACAGAUGGGAGCUUGCUCCCUGAUGUUAGCGGCGGACGGGUGAGUAACACGUGGGUAACCUGCCUGUAAGACUGGGAUAACUCCGGGAAACCGGGGCUAAUACCGGAUGGUUGUUUGAACCGCAUGGUUCAGACAUAAAAGGUGGCUUCGGCUACCACUUACAGAUGGACCCGCGGCGCAUUAGCUAGUUGGUGAGGUAACGGCUCACCAAGGCGACGAUGCGUAGCCGACCUGAGAGGGUGAUCGGCCACACUGGGACUGAGACACGGCCCAGACUCCUACGGGAGGCAGCAGUAGGGAAUCUUCCGCAAUGGACGAAAGUCUGACGGAGCAACGCCGCGUGAGUGAUGAAGGUUUUCGGAUCGUAAAGCUCUGUUGUUAGGGAAGAACAAGUGCCGUUCAAAUAGGGCGGCACCUUGACGGUACCUAACCAGAAAGCCACGGCUAACUACGUGCCAGCAGCCGCGGUAAUACGUAGGUGGCAAGCGUUGUCCGGAAUUAUUGGGCGUAAAGGGCUCGCAGGCGGUUUCUUAAGUCUGAUGUGAAAGCCCCCGGCUCAACCGGGGAGGGUCAUUGGAAACUGGGGAACUUGAGUGCAGAAGAGGAGAGUGGAAUUCCACGUGUAGCGGUGAAAUGCGUAGAGAUGUGGAGGAACACCAGUGGCGAAAGCGACUCUCUGGUCUGUAACUGACGCUGAGGAGCGAAAGCGUGGGGAGCGAACAGGAUUAGAUACCCUGGUAGUCCACGCCGUAAACGAUGAGUGCUAAGUGUUAGGGGGUUUCCGCCCCUUAUGCUGCAGCUAACGCAUUAAGCACUCCGCCUGGGGAGUACGGUCGCAAGACUGAAACUCAAAGGAACUGACGGGGGCCCGCACA
rnacentral:rRNA from 1 species